rnacentral:lncRNA from 1 species
GUGUCAGGGGCAGCUGCUGGAAGGAGGCGCAAGCACCACGGAGAGUCUGGGAUGCCCAGCCAAGGAGCCCUGGAAGGGUUGCCCUGGGGACUGACACUGUGGGCUCUGUGUUUUAGCCAAGUCACCCAGGCAGCUGAACAGAAGAUGGACUGGAGGGAGAAGCCUGGAUGUAGGAUCGCUCAGCAACAAAGGAGCCAGAAAAGGCAAGGUGUACACACCGUGUGCAGCAUGGGCGAGCUGCAGGCAUGCAGGUAAGAGUGUGUGCAUGCAGGUGUGUGCACACGAGUUUGCAUGUGCUGAUGCAGAUGGCUAUGAUGCGUGGUGGUGAUAUAUACAUGUGGAUGCUUAUGGAUCUGUGCCAACCAUUAUUAAGCACAUAUGUAUACCCGUGUGUGUAUAUGCAUGCAUGUGUUUGUGUGAGUUGCAAUGUGUAUACAACUUUACACAAUAAGUGAAUUGAGUACAUGUACCUGUUUAUCCACGGAAGUGUAUGAUGACUGGACAUAUGUAAAUAUGUGUAUUUGCAUGUGUUUAUACUUUGUGCAUAGAUGCAUGUUUGUGUAUUUAUGCUGAUCCAUUUAAGCGUAUGGGAUGUGUGUGGAUGUUUGUGUAACAUCUGUACAUACUCCAUAGGUGCAUCUUAAUACAGGAAUAUGGGUGCGAUGUGUAUGUGUGUGUGUGUGCCUGUGUGAACAGGUGCGGCUGGAGGUCUAUGAGUGUGUGGAUAGGUAUAUUUGCCUGUGCGCAUGUGCGAUUCACGUGGUGUGAGUGCACAUGGUCGCAGGCAAAUGUCUGUGUGGGCACACACAUGCCCUGUUGCCCUUUUCUGUCUUUUCCUGUUGGGAAAUUACAGAACUUCUGAGUCCUAACCAUGGCUGGUGGCUCUUCCAGGAACAUGGUUUCCUGGACCCAAAAGGUAAGCUUGUCAGGGACCCACGUGAAUGAGGAAGUGGGUGGGCCUGAGUCUGGGGCUCCUCUGAGAACUGCUGUGGACCAGGGAAAUCUUGCUGCCACCUCUGGUCUUUAGUCCACCUCUCAGUAGUAGCUUUCAAAGCUUGAUUUUUUUGGAGGCGUCUCCACGGAGCAUAGUCCUAAGCUCCUAGCCUACAUUGUCCCUGUUCCUGGGCCUGUUUGGUUGACAUUCUCUUACAGUUUAAAAAAGACAUCCACAUCCGUACUCUUAGCUAAUCCUUGUGACCUUUCUUCUAGUCUGUUUGGAGAGGCUGGGAGCAGAGUGGUUAAAAGAGCCAGGCCUGGUUCCAUUUCUGACCCCUCUUCUAGCUGAGCAACUUCCGCCUCUUCCAGCCUCCCUCACGGGAAUCACAGAUCACGUGAGAUGACACCCAUGAAGGGCUUGACUGGCAUCUGGCACAUGGUGAGGACUGCAAAAAUGUGGGCUAUUGUUUUUACUAUUAUCCCCAUUUUAUAGAUGAGGAAACUGAGGCUUGGAGAGGCUCUCUGCCUUUGUCAACCUGGAGAUGCUGGGAAGGAAGUGAGGCCCAUCCCACCUCAGAUGCCUGUCCUCUGUCGUCAGGAGCAUUCUCUUGUUCUUCCGGGCUUGGCCAAGCGGUGGUAAACCCCACAUGUGGUUCUGUGGUUGCCCACACAGUCCUAAAAAUAGCCAACAGGAACCCAGGGGCUCCCCCUUGGUGAGUGGCAGCAGGCCCAGUCCUCAGGCAGCCACCAACCUGCUCACUCCCCACAGGCAAGCAGGUCCUGUCUAGGAAGGGGCUGGGUGGCCUGGGUCCCAUGCAUGAUGAGCCAGAGGCUGUGCCAAGCUUAUAGCAAAUAUUAUUUUAUUUCAUUAUGUUUUCUUACAUCUGUGAUGUGGAGGCCAUAGCUCCACUGGACUCAUGAGGAGACUGAGGCUCAGAGCAAUGAAGUGACCUGCUCAAAGUUAAGGAGCUUCAGUUUGGACCCAAUUUGUUCUGAUCCUAAGGUCACUAUCCUUAAUCCCUCUCCCUGUGGGGUCUUCCCUAUCUUGAGCCUGUGGACAGCUGUGCAGUGGCAAGAAAAAGGCCUUCAGAGCUACGCAGACCUGGCUUCAAAUCCCAGCCUCCCUGAUGAGCCCUGGUGGUCUUGGAGCUGUAACGCUCACUGCGAAGAUCUGCAGCUUCACUCCUGAGCCCAGCGAGACCGUGAACCCACCGGGAGGAACGAACAACUCCAG